AAAGGAAAAGAGAGUGCGUGAGAUAAUAUAACUUCAAAACUCAGAAGAAAACAAAAUUAUGUCAUACGAAUAAUGUUUACAUUUCGCCGGUCAAGAAAUGAAUUCUAUAUAUACAUCUUUAUAUGUUCAUGAUUUAAGUUGAAAAAUAAAAAUUCACCUCUUUUUACUUAUUAUACAGUUUAUCUCGCAAUUUGCAACACUUUUUAUUGAGUUAUUAAACAUGCAACGCUUAAGCGACUGGUUAGCUGUUCGUGUGAAUCUCUGCCGAAGAUGUUACUGUACUUCUGUGAAAUUGAACAAUAAUCAAAGAUUAGCAGAUUUCCCUACAACUUAUAAAAUAAAGGAUAUGGAGCAAAAGUGGUAUGAUGUAUGGCAACAAAACAAAUGUUUUUCGUCUUCCAAGACGAGAACUACCAAUAAAAAGGGCUCUUUCAACAUGGUUUUGCCACCUCCUAAUAUCACAGGUGUAUUACAUUUAGGUCAUGCACUCACUGCUACUAUCCAGGAUGUGUUGGCCAGAUGGUAUAAAAUGAAGGGUUAUUCAGUGCUGUGGAUACCAGGUCUAGAUCAUGCUGGUAUCGCUACACAGGUCAUCGUGGAGAAGUAUUUGCAUCACACACGAAAUCUGUCGCGUCAUAAUUUGGGCAGGGAGGAAUUCGCAUCGAUGGUCUGGCAAUGGAAAGUGGAGAAGGCUGAGAUGAUCCGCAAUCAAUUGAAAAUGCUGGGUGCUAAUCUCGAUUGGGAUCGAGAAUACUUCACCAUUGAUGAACAUUACAGCGCGGCAGUAACGGAAGCAUUUGUGCAAUUGCAUGAGCGAGGACUUCUGUACAGAGAUUGUAAUUUUGUCAACUGGUCGUCCUUGUUGCACAGUACCAUUAGUGAUAUUGAGGUGGAAAAUAUGACCAUUCACGGAAGUACCAAGCUCCAUGUGCCUGGUUAUAACAACAAGGUGACGUUCGGCCGCAUGAUGAAGCUGGCCUAUCCCAUAGAAGACUCUAAGGAGGAAUUAAUAGUGGCGACGACGAGGCCCGAGACCAUGUUCGGCGAUGUGGCUCUCGCUGUGCAUCCGGACGACGACAGAUACGCGAAAUACGUCGGCCGGCGUGUUAUGCACCCCGUCAGGAACAUUCCCAUCCCCGUCGUGGCCGACUUCGCGGUCAAGAAAGAAUUCGGGACUGGCGUGUUGAAGAUUACGCCGGCACAUGAUCGCACGGACCAUGGUAUUGCCAAAAGGCACAAUCUGCCUCUCAUCGGCGUCAUCAAUGAAGACGGCAACAUGACAGAUGCCUGCAAGGGAUACGAGGGAUUGCCGAGAUUCGACGCCAGAGAAAAGCUACUGCACGAAUUAUCCGUUCGAAAAGUUUUGCGAGACGUGGAUGACGGUCACAAUAUGGUGCUGCCACGUUGCUCGCGCUCGCAAGACAUCAUCGAGCAAUUGUUGAAGGAGCAAUGGUUCGUGAAAUGCGACCAGAUGGCUAAAAACGCCAUCGAUACGGUGGAAAACGGCUCGCUGAAGAUCGAGCCCAGCGUAUACAAGCAACAUUGGCAAGACUGGCUUGGCAAUAUUAGGGACUGGUGCGUGUCGAGGCAGUUGUGGUGGGGCCACCAAAUCCCGGCGUAUUUCGUAAUCCAAGACGGCUCAUGGAUAGUCGCACGAUCUGAAGAAGAAGCUUAUUUGAUAGCCAGGAAGAAAUACGGAGACGACGUAAAACUUCGUCGAGACGACGACGUUCUCGAUACAUGGUUCUCCUCGGCGAUCGUGCCAUUCGCCACACUUGGUUGGCCUAAAAACACACAGGACAUGGCGAAUCACUACCCGCUAUCUCUAAUGGAGACCGGUCACGAUAUUCUCAUGUUUUGGGUGGCAAGGAUGGUGAUGUUGAGUUUGGAGCUGACGCAAUAUUUACCUUUCAAAGAAGUAUUGCUACACGGAAUUCUGUGUGAUGCUAAUGGCAAAAAGAUGUCCAAAAGUUCCGGCAAUGUUAUAUCGCCAGAGAACAUUAUCAACGGUUGCAGCUUAGAAGAAUUGGACGCGCAAGCGAAGCGAAGCUACGAAGCCGGUAUUCUCAAUGCGGACGAGCUGCGUAGAACGCUUCGUGUCAAUGCCAAAUCUUAUCCCGAAGGGAUAUUCGACUGCGGUGUAGAUGCUCUUAGAAUGGCGCUGUGUGCACGCAACAUCAAAAAUCAUAAUGUCAGUUUCGAUAUAGCGAACUGCCGGACGAAUAAACAUUUCUGCAACAAGAUCUGGCAGGCGAGUAAGUACAUGUUAUUAAUGGUGAACGAGGACCGAGAGGGAGACGAAGAUAUAGAAAAAUUGAGCAAUUUGGAUCGCUGGAUCCUGAGUCGUUUGUCUCUAACGGUGGAGACGGUAAAUACAGCAUUCACCGAGCGGAAUUUCCACAAGGCGGCCUUAAUGAUUCGAAGGGACGAAGUUUGGUUUCAAAGAUGGCAACGCAAAUAUCGCAUCUGGUCAUUCAUAUACUUUGAAGAAAUGUCUCGAAGUCUUCCUGAGGCUUCUCGCUCCCCUCAUGCCUUAUUUAGCGGAUGAUCUAUACAACAGAUUCGCCAAGAAACUGCCAGUGUCUUUUCUGUCAGUGUCUUCGUUGUUGGAGACUGAAUAUCCCGAGUUCGUGGAGUUUGAACAUUUGAGGAACGUUUCGUUGGAGGAAGACAUGCAGAAAAUCAUCGAUCUGAUAGACACUAUCAGAGUCUGCAUGGCAAACGUCAGCAAGAAGUCCAGUCCAGAA
rnacentral:misc_RNA from 1 species